rnacentral:rRNA from 1 species
GUGCCAGCAGCCGCGGUAAUACGUAGGGUGCGAGCGUUAAUCGGAAUUACUGGGCGUAAAGCGUGCGCAGGCGGUUCGCAAAGUCUGAUGUGAAAGCCCCGGGCUCAACCUGGGAAUUGCAUUGGAAACUGACGAGCUUGAGUGUGGCAGAGGGGGGUGGAACUCCACGUGUAGCAGUGAAAUGCGUAGAGAUGUGGAGGAACACCGAUGGCGAAGGCAGCCCCCUGGGCUAACACUGACGCUCAGGCACGAAAGCGUGGGGAGCAAACAGGAUUAGAUACCCUUGUAGUCC